rnacentral:rRNA from 1 species
AAUCUGGCACCUCCGGUGUCCGCGUUGUAAUCUGGAGACGUGUUUUCCGUGCGGAUCUAUGGACAAGUCCCUUGGAACAGGGCAUCGUAGAGGGAGAGAAUCCCGUACUUGCCAUGGAAGAACCGUGCUUUGCGAUACACGCUCUAAGAGUCGAGUUGUUUGGGAUUGCAGCUCAAAAUGGGUGGUAGACUCCAUCUAAAGCUAAAUAUCGGGGAGAGACCGAUAGCGAACAAGUACCGUGAGGGAAAGAUGAAAAGCACUUUGGAAAGAGAGUUAAAAGUACGUGAAAUUGUCGAAAGGGAAGCACUUGAAGUCAGCCAUGCUGCUUGAGACUCAGCCUGGCCUUUGGGCUUGGUGUAUUUCUCGGUGGCAAGCCAGCAUUGGUUUGGGUCGUCGGAGAAGCGCAUAGGGAAUGUAGCGUCUCCGGACGUGUUAUAGCCUUAUGCAGGAUACGACGACCUGGAUCAAGGAACGCAGUGUGCCCUCUGGGCG